rnacentral:rRNA from 1 species
GACGAACGCUGGCGGCGUGCUUAACACAUGCAAGUCGAACGGAAAGGCCCUGCUUUUGUGGGGUGCUCGAGUGGCGAACGGGUGAGUAACACGUGAGUAACCUGCCCUUUACUUUGGGAUAACUUCAGGAAACUGGGGCUAAUACCGGAUAGGAGCUCCUGCUGCAUGGUGGGGGUUGGAAAGUUUCGGCGGUUGGGGAUGGACUCGCGGCUUAUCAGCUUGUUGGUGGGGUAGUGGCUUACCAAGGCUUUGACGGGUAGCCGGCCUGAGAGGGUGACCGGCCACAUUGGGACUGAGAUACGGCCCAGACUCCUACGGGAGGCAGCAGUGGGGAAUAUUGCACAGUGGGCGGAAGCCUGAUGCAGCAACGCCGCGUGCGGGAUGACGGCCUUCGGGUUGUAAACCGCUUUCGCCUGUGACGAAGCGUGAGUGACGGUAAUGGGUAAAGAAGCACCGGCUAACUACGUG